rnacentral:rRNA from 1 species
CAGUAGCCGCGGUAAUACAGAGGGUGCGAGCGUUAAUCGGAUUUACUGGGCGUAAAGCGUGCGUAGGCGGCUUCUUAAGUCGGAUGUGAAAUCCCUGAGCUUAACUUAGGAAUUGCAUUCGAUACUGGGAAGCUAGAGUAUGGGAGAGGAUGGUAGAAUUCCAGGUGAAGCGGUGAAAUGCGUAGAGAUCUGGAGGAAUACCGAUGGCGAAGGCAGCCAUCUGGCCUAAUACUGACGCUGAGGUACGAAAGCAUGGGGAGCAAACAGGAUUAGAUACCCGCGUAGUCCCUGUCUCUUAUAC